CCCUUAGAUGUCCUGGGCCGCACGCGCGUUACACUGAUGCAUUCAACGAGCUUAUAACCUUGGCCGAGAGGCCUGGGCAAUCUUGUUAACGUGCAUCGUGAUAGGGAUAGAUUAUUGAAAUUAUUAAUCUUGAACGAGGAAUUCCUAGCAAACGCAGAUCAUCAAUCUGCAUUGAUUACGUCCCUGCCCUUUGUACACACCGCCCGUCGCACCUACCGAUUGGAUGGUCCGGUGAAGCCUCGGGAUUGUGGUUCUUGCCGCUUUAUUGUGGCGUGACCGCGAGAACUUGUCUAAACCUUAUCAUCUAGAGGAAGGUGAAGUCGUAACA
rnacentral:rRNA from 1 species